AUAGUGAACGCUGGCGGCGUGCUUAACACAUGCAAGUCGAACGAGAACGGAUUUAAGCUUGCUUAAAUUGUCAGCUAAGUGGCGCACGGGUGAGUAAUAUAUAGUUAACCUGCCCUAGAGGGGGGGAUAACAUUUGGAAACGAAUGCUAACACCCUAUAUGCCUUUAAGACAUAAGUCUGCAAGGGAAACAUUUAUGGCUCUAGGAUGGGACUGUACGGUAUCAGCUUGUUGGUGAGGUAAUGGCUCACCAAGGCAAUGACACCUAACUGGUUUGAGAGGAUGAUCAGUCACACUGGAACUGAGACACGGUCCAGACUCCUACGGGAGGCAGCAGUGGGGAAUAUUGCACAAUGGACGAAAGUCUGAUGCAGCAACGCCGCGUGGAGGAUGACACAUUUCGGUGCGUAAACUCCUUUUAUAUAGGAAGAUAAUGACGGUACUAUAUGAAUAAGCACCGGCUAACUCCGUGCCAGCAGCCGCGGUAAUACGGAGGGUGCAAGCGUUACUCGGAAUCACUGGGCGUAAAGAGCGUGUAGGCGGGUUAAUAAGUUGGAAGUGAAAUCCUAUGGCUCAACCAUAGAACUGCUUUCAAAACUGUUAACCUAGAGUAUGGGAGAGGUAGAUGGAAUUUCUGGUGUAGGGGUAAAAUCCGUAGAGAUCAGAAGGAAUACCGAUUGCGAAGGCGAUCUACUGGAACAUAACUGACGCUGAGACGCGAAAGCGUGGGGAGCAAACAGGAUUAGAUACCCUGGUAGUCCACGCCCUAAACGAUGUACACUAGUUGUUGCUAUGCUAGACAUAGCAGUAAUGCAGUUAACACAUUAAGUGUACCGCCUGGGGAGUACGGUCGCAAGAUUA
rnacentral:rRNA from 1 species